UACGUAGGGACCAAGCGUUGUUCGGAUUUACUGGGCGUAAAGGGCGCGUAGGCGGCGUGGUAAGUCACUUGUGAAAUCUCUGAACUUAACUCAGAACGGUCAAGUGAUACUGCUGUGCUAGAGUGCGGAAGGGGCAAUCGGAAUUCUUGGUGUAGCGGUGAAAUGCGUAGAUAUCAAGAGGAACACCUGAGGUGAAGACGGGUUGCUGGGCCGACACUGACGCUGAUGCGCGAAAGCCAGGGGAGCAAACGGG
rnacentral:rRNA from 1 species